GACGAACGCUGGCGGCGUGCUUAACACAUGCAAGUCGAACGGAAAGGCCCUGCUUUUGUGGGGUGCUCGAGUGGCGAACGGGUGAGUAACACGUGAGUAACCUGCCCUUGACUUUGGGAUAACUUCAGGAAACUGGGGCUAAUACCGGAUAGGAGCUCCUGCUGCAUGGUGGGGGUUGGAAAGUUUCGGCGGUUGGGGAUGGACUCGCGGCUUAUCAGCUUGUUGGUGGGGUAGUGGCUUACCAAGGCUUUGACGGGUAGCCGGCCUGAGAGGGUGACCGGCCACAUUGGGACGGAGAUACGGCCCAGACUCCUACGGGAGGCAGCAGUGGGGAAUAUUGCGCAAUGGGCGGAAGCCUGAUGCAGCAACGCCGCGUGCGGGAUGACGGCCUUCGGGUUGUAAACCGCUUUCGCAUGUGACGAAGCGUGAGUGACGGGAAUGGGUAAAGAAGCAGCGGCGAAAUAAGU
rnacentral:rRNA from 1 species